GGGCGUAUAGCUCAGGCGGUUAGAGCGUCACACUGAUAAUGUGAAGGUCCGUGGUUCAAGUCCACGUACGCCCACUA
rnacentral:tRNA from 3 species